rnacentral:rRNA from 1 species
UACGUAGGAGGCGAGCGUUGUCCGGAAUUACUGGGCGUAAAGAGCGCGAGGCGGCACGGUACGACCGGUGUGAAAGCCCCCGGCUCAACUGGGGAGGGUCACCGGUAACGGUCGAGCUAUGAGUGCAGGAGAGGGAAGUGGAACUCCGGGAGUAGCGGUGAAAUGCGUAGAGACCCGGAGGAACACCAGUGGCGAAGGCGGCUUCCUGGUCUGCGACUGACGCUGUGGCGCGAAAGCUAGGGGAGCAAACGGG